rnacentral:rRNA from 1 species
GACGAAGGGGGCUAGCGUUGUUCGGAAUUACUGGGCGUAAAGCGCGUGUAGGCUGCUCAGAAAGUCGGAUGUGAAAGCCCUGGGCUUAACCUAGGAAGUGCAUUCGAAACUUCUGAGCUGGAGUUCUGGAGAGGAAGGCGGAAUUCUCGGUGUAGAGGUGAAAUUCGUAGAUAUCGAGAGGAACACCGGUGGCGAAGGCGGCCUUCUGGACAGUGACUGACGCUGAGACGCGAAAGCGUGGGGAGCGAACAGG